rnacentral:tRNA from 1 species
AGUAAGGUGGCUGAAAAAAGCAGUAGACUGUAAAUCUUCCUAUGGAUUAAAACUUCCCCUUACUA